AUACGUAGGGGGCUAAGCGUUAUCCGGAUUUACUGGGUGUAAAGGGAGCGUAGACGGCAGAGCAAGUCUGAAGUGAAAGCCCGGGGCUCAACCCCGGGACUGCUUUGGAAACUGCCCGGCUAGAGUGCAGGAGGGGCAAGCGGAAUUCCUAGUGUAGCGGUGAAAUGCGUAGAUAUUAGGAGGAACACCGGUGGCGAAGGCGGCUUGCUGGACUGUAACUGACGUUGAGGCUCGAAAGCGUGGGGAGC
rnacentral:rRNA from 1 species